AACGAACGCUGGCGGCAUGCCUAACACAUGCAAGUCGAACGAGACCUUCGGGUCUAGUGGCGCACGGGUGCGUAACGCGUGGGAACCUGCCCGUAGGUUCGGAAUAACUCCCCGAAAGGGGUGCUAAUACCGGAUAAUGUCUUCGGACCAAAGAUCUAUCGCCUUGGGAUGGGCCCGCGUUGGAUUAGCUAGUUGGUAGGGUAAAAGCAUACCAAGGCGACGAUCCAUAGCUGGUCUGAGAGGAUGAUCAGCCACACUGGGACUGAGACCCGGCCCAGACUCGUACGGGAGGGAGCAGUGGGGAAUAUUGGAGGAUGGGCGAAAGCCUGAUCAAGCAAUGCCGCGUGAGUGGUGAAGGCCUUAGGGUUGUAAAGCUCUUUUACCCGGGAUGAUAAUGACGGUACCGGGAGAAGAAGCUCCGGCUAACUACGUG
rnacentral:rRNA from 1 species